CCCUGGUGCCGGGUAUAUUUGGAACCGUUUUGAAGGCCCUUCCUCGCAGAGCCGGGAGGUGUGGAGGGGGAAGCAGGUGAAGGCGGAGUUGCAAUGCCCCCGAAGA
rnacentral:SRP_RNA from 12 species